rnacentral:rRNA from 1 species
GGUUAGUGGCGGACUGGUGAGUAACACGUAAGCAACCUGCCUAUUAGAGGGGAACAACAGUUAGAAAUGACUGCUAAUACCGCAUAUGCCAUAAGUAUCGCAUGAUACAAGUGGGAAAGGAGCAAUCCGCUAAUAGAUGGGCUUGCGUCUGAUUAGAUAGUUGGUGGGGUAACGGCCUACCAAGUCGACGAUCAGUAGCCGAGUUGAGAGACUCUACGGCCACAUUGGGACUGAGAUACGGCCCAGACUCC